UUUUAAUAUAUCUAGUUUUUUAAGAAAUAAAUUUAAUUUAGAUAUUUAUUUUUAAUAUUUUAUUUUUUUUUAAAAAUUUAUAAAUAUAUAUUAAUAUUUUAAGGGAUGAGCUUUAAGAUAAAAUUAUAUAAAUGAUUUUGUUAAUUAAUAAUUGUAAGCUUAGAAUUAGUUAUCAAUAGAAAUUAUGUUUUAAUUUAUUUUAAAUUUAAUAUUAUUUAAUAUUUAUUUUAUAUUUUUUUUAUUAAAUUAUAAAUUUUAAUUUUAUAAAUUUAUUAAUAAUGAUAAAAUUAGUAAAUAUAUUAGUUAUAUAAAUAUGUUAUUUAUAAUGUUUGGUUUUUAUAAUUAAUUCGGCAAAUUUUGUGUUCACCUGUUUAUCAAAAACAUGUCUUUUUAGUAUUAUAUAUAAAGUCUAGCCUGCCCACUGAUUAAUCUUUAAAGGGCCGCAGUAUUUUGACUGUGCAAAGGUAGCAUAAUCAUUAGUCUUUUAAUUGGAGGCUGGUAUGAAUGGUUGGAUGAAAUACAAGCUGUGUCAUAAAAAUUAGUAUUUGAAUUUAACUUUUUAGUCAAAAGGCUAAAAUAAUUUUGAAAGACGAGAAGACCCUAUAGAGCUUUAUAUAAUGAUUAUUUAAGUUAUUAAGAUUUAUUAAAUUUAAUUUUUUUUAUUUUAUUUUGUUGGGGUGACAAUAAAAUUAAUAUAACUUUUAUUUUUAUUUUACAUUAAUUUAUGAGUAUAUGAUCCAAUUUUAUUGAUUAUAAAUUUAAGUUACCUUAGGGAUAACAGCGUAAUUUUUUUUGAGAGUUCUUAUCGACAAAAAAGAUUUCGACCUCGAUGUUGGAUUAAGAGUAAUUUUGGGUGUAAAAGUUCAAAAUUUAAGUCUGUUCGACUUUUAAAUUCUUACAU
rnacentral:rRNA from 1 species